AGUCCUGUGGUCUAGUGGUAUGAUUUUCGUCUCACACACGAAAGGUCCCGGGUUCGAACCCCGGCGGGACUA